rnacentral:rRNA from 1 species
GAAUUGACGGGGGCCCGCACAAGCGGAGGAACAUGUGGUUUAAUUCGAUGAUACGCGAGGAACCUUACCCGGGCUUGAAUUGCAGAUGAAGGAUCCAGAGAUGGUGACGCCCUUCGGGGCAUCUGUGAAGGUGCUGCAUGGUUGUCGUCAGCUCGUGCCGUGAGGUGUCGGCUCAAGUGCCAUAACGAGCGCAACCCCUCUCUUCAGUUGCCAUCAGGUGGAGCUGGGCACUCUGGAGACACUGCCACCGCAAGGUGUGAGGAAGGUGGGGAUGACGUCAAAUCAGCACGGCCCUUACGUCCGGGGCUACACACGUGUUACAAUGGGGGGUACAGAAAGCCGGCUGCCCGCAAGGUCAGUCCAAUCAAGAAAGCCUCCCUCAGUUCGGACUGGGGUCUGCAACCCGACCCCACGAAGCUGGAUUCGCUAGUAAUCGCGCAUCAGCCAUGGCGCGGUGAAUACGUUCCCGGGCCUUGUACACACCG